AGAGUUUGAUCUUGGCUCAGGACGAACGCUGGCGGCAUGCCUAAUACAUGCAAGUCGAACGAUGAUAUCACUGCUUGCAGUGAUUGAUUAGUGGCGAACGGGUGAGUAACACGUGAGGAACUUGCCCAUGAGCGGGGGACAACAUUCGGAAACGGAUGCUAAUACCCCAUAGGUGGAUUGGUCGCAUGACGAAUUCAUUAAAGGUGGCUUUGCUACCACUCAUGGAUAGCCUCGCGGCGUAUUAGCUAGUUGGUAAGGUAAUGGCUUACCAAGGCAGUGAUACGUAGCCGACUUGAGAGGGUGAUCGGCCACACUGGGACUGAGACACGGCCCAGACUCCUACGGGAGGCAGCAGUAGGGAAUCUUCCACAAUGGGUGCAAACCUGAUGGAGCAAUGCCGCGUGAGUGAAGAAGGUCUUCGGAUCGUAAAGCUCUGUUGUUGGGGAAGAACACGGAUAGGAGUCACUGCCUAUCCCUUGACGGUACCCAACCAGAAAGUCACGGCUAACUACGUGCCAGCAGCCGCGGUAAUACGUAGGUGACAAGCGUUGUCCGGAUUUAUUGGGCGUAAAGCGAGCGCAGGCGGUCCGGUAAGUCUGAUGUGAAAGCCCACGGCUCAACCGUGGAACGGCAUUGGAAACUGGCGGACUUGAAUGUAGCAGAGGAAAGUGGAAUUCCAUGUGUAGCGGUGGAAUGCGUAGAUAUAUGGAGGAACACCAGUGGCGAAAGCGACUUUCUGGGCUAUGAUUGACGCUGAGGCUCGAAAGCGUGGGGAGCGAACAGGAUUAGAUACCCUGGUAGUCCACGCCGUAAACGAUGAGUGCUAAGUGUUGGGGGCUUUCCGGCCCUCGGUGCUGGAGCUAACGUAUUAAGCACUCCGCCUGGGGAUUACGACCGCAAGGUUGAAACUCAAAAGAAUUGACGGGGACCCGCACAAGCGGUGGAGCAUGUGGUUUAAUUCGAAGCAACGCGAAGAACCUUACCNGCUCUUGACAUCUUCUGACAACUCUAGAGAUAGAGCGUUCCCUUCGGGGACAGAAUGNCAGGUGGUGCAUGGUUGUCGUCAGCUCGUGUCGUGAGAUGUUGGGUUAAGUCCCGUAACGAGCGCAACCCUUGUUGUUAGUUGCCAGCAUUAAGUUGGGCACU
rnacentral:rRNA from 1 species